rnacentral:rRNA from 1 species
AGGGUUCGAUUAUGGCUCAGGACGAACGCUGGCGGCGUGCCUAAUACAUGCAAGUCGAGCGAGCGGAACCAACAGAUUUACUUCGGUAAUGACGUUGGGAAAGCGAGCGGCGGAUGGGUGAGUAACACGUGGGGAACCUGCCCCUAAGUCUGGGAUACCAUUUGGAAACAGGUGCUAAUACCGGAUAAUAAAGCAGAUCGCAUGAUCAGCUUUUGAAAGGCGGCGUAAGCUGUCGCUAAGGGAUGGCCCCGCGGUGCAUUAGCUAGUUGGUAAGGUAACGGCUUACCAAGGCGACGAUGCAUAGCCGAGUUGAGAGACUGAUCGGCCACAUUGGGACUGAGACACGGCCCAA